rnacentral:lncRNA from 1 species
GACACCGAGAACUUGAUCAAGCGCCACACUUAUGACGAGUACAUCUGGGCGUCCGUUGGGCUCUACCUUGACAUCCUGAACCUGUUCCUUUCCAUCCUGAACAUGCUCAGGAGCAUGCAAUCCGACAACUAGGGGGCUCCAUCUGCACGAUCUGGACCUUGUGAGAACCUGGUCAGGGCGUCGGCCCUUGCGUGGUCUUUUGAACCGUAAUGUGUAUACAGUCCUGUGAGUCUGUGACUAUCGUCAGAGGAUGAAAUCAAAGUACAACGUAUGUAUAGUUCUUAGUUGGAUUACUUUUAACACCGUCACGGUCACGUGCGUGUUACCGUAAGAUUGUGCUAUCAUUCUGCCAAUAAUUGUC